rnacentral:rRNA from 1 species
GAUGAACGCUAGCGGCAGGCUUAAUACAUGCAAGUCGAGGGGUAGCAAGAUUGUAGCAAUACAAUUGUUGACGACCGGCAAACGGGUGCGGAACACGUACACAACCUUCCUACAAGUGGGGAAUAGCCCAGAGAAAUUUGGAUUAAUACCCCGUAACAUAGCGAUGUGGCAUCACAUUGCUAUUAUAGCUUCGGCGCUUGUUGAUGGGUGUGCGGCUGAUUAGAUAGUUGGCGGGGCAACGGCCCACCAAGUCUACGAUCAGUAGCUGAUGUGAGAGCAUGAUCAGCCACACGGGCACUGAGACACGGGCCCGACUCCUACGGGAGGCAGCAGUAAGGACUAUUGGACAAUGGACGCAAGUCUGAUCCAGCCAUGCCGCGUGAAGGAUUAAGGUCCUCUGGAUUGUAAACUUCUUUUAUAAGGGACGAAAAAAGGUCUUUCUAGAUCGUCUGACGGUACCUUAUGAAUAAGCACCGGCUAACUCCGUGCCAGCCGCCGCAGUAAUAC